rnacentral:rRNA from 1 species
UACGGAGGGGGCUAGCGUUGCUCGGAAUCACUGGGCGUAAAGCGCACGUAGGCGGAUUGCUAAGUCAGGGGUGAAAUCCUGGAGCUCAACUCCAGAACUGCCUUUGAUACUGGAGAGCUUGAGUCCGGGAGAGGUGAGUGGAACUCCGAGUGUAGAGGUGAAAUUCGUAGAUAUUCGGAAGAACACCAGUGGCGAAGGCGGCUCACUGGCCCGGUACUGACGCUGAUGUGCGAAAGCGUGGGGAGCAAACAGG